CGGCGGGCGCAGUUGCGCAGCACGGAACAUCGAGUGAUGAAUUAACAAAAACAAAAGCUGGAAUUACUGGCUGAAUU
rnacentral:snRNA from 1 species